GAAUAGAAAUACACCAGUAUUUAAUGAAAGUCAAUUCCAGGCCUUCACACAGAUUCAGGUAAGCUAUUUCCUUCCAUGUUUAAUAUUGUUAUUGUGUUGCAGUAACAGUUUCAUCAUCUGUCCUGAGGUAGGGUGUUUCCAUAGAGGAGGUGCUUUGCAUCGGCAGCUCAUGCUUCAGUGCUCUGGGAGUGUUUAUAGCCCUGUGAGUUUCAGACUGCAGGACUGAGAUCUGUCUUGAUACUUUAGGACUUCAGUGUUAUCAUUGUUGUGUUCAGUCUGUUGUCUUCUCAGAGCCACAGAUGAUGGUGAAGAUGAUGAAGAUGAUAUCACUGAUUCCACUGCUGACCACACUGGGGUUCCUGACUCAGGAAUCGUCAGCUGGAGUUGUGACUCAGUCUCCUGCUGUCAAAUCUGUUAGUUUGGGAGAGACUGUAUAUCUGAGCUGCACAGCCAGUGAGGGGGUGGAUGAUGACCUGAGCUGGUACCUGCAGAAACCAGGACAGUCCCCUCAACUCCUCUUCUAUAAAAUAAGUCGACGUCAGUCUGAAACUCCUGGUCAUUUCAGUAGCAGUGGAUCUCAACCAGAUUUUACUCUGACCAUCAGUGUAGUCCAGGCUGAGGAUGUAGGAGAUUACUACUGCAUGGGUGUGUACACUGAUGGGAGCACACAGUGAUUUAGAGUCGUACAAAAACCUCCCUCAGUCAGACUGCACAGAGACUGUACUGCUGCAGCUGGGACCUUAAACAGGUGCUGAGGAACAACAGACUAUGACAUGUAACACUGAACACAGACUUAAGAGCCUCACACAGCACUGUUAUUCUGGUUACUCAUGACAGGAUCAUAGUUCACCCAACCACCUCCUCUACACAACCACAACCUUUACUUCACCUCUGGAAUGUUCAGAUAUAAAUUAAUUGCGUAGAACAGACAUCAUUAUAUCUGUCAAGUGAAACAGGAAAUGUUCCCUCUAUUCAUUACAUGUAUUUCUUUAAUCUUCUAAAUGUUUCACCUCACUGAAUGCAGGCUUGAUUUGCAUGGUCAGGGUGGGAUGGUUUUGCUUCUCCCAGAAUAGAGAAGUCCCCAGGGGGUGAGAGAGAGAGAGAGAGAGAGAGAGAGG